rnacentral:rRNA from 1 species
ACCAGACUCCUACGGGAGGCAGCAGUGGGGGAUAUUGCACAAUGGGGGGAACCCUGAUGCAGCGACGCCGCGUGGGUGAAGAAGUAUUUCGGUAUGUAAAGCCCUAUCGGCAGGGAAGAAAUUGGACGGUACCUGACUAAGAAGCCCUGGCUAACUACGUGCCAGCAGCCGCGGUAAUACGUAGGGGGCAAGCGUUAUCCGGAUUCACUGGGUGUAAAGGGAGCGUAGACGGCCAUGCAAGCCUGGAGUGAAAGCCCGGGGCCCAACCCCGGGACUGCUCUGGGAACUGUGCGGCUGGAGUGCGGGAGGGGCAGGCGGAAUUCCUGGUGUAGCGGUGAAAUGCGUAGAUAUCAGGAGGAACACCGGCGGCGAAGGCGGCCUGCUGGACCGCGACUGACGUUGAGGCUCGAAAGCGUGGGGAGCAAACAGGAUUAGAUACCCGUGUAAA